CUUUCCUCUUCUUCUCUGCUUCCCCUCUUUCUCUUCUCUGUUCUUCUUCUUCUUUUCGUUUCUCCGUUCUCUUCUCCUGCCGUUUAUCAGUGAGAUCAACUGGGAAGAUCAGUUGAUGAUGUGUAGAUGUUCAAGGUGAUGGUACUGCUGUGAAAAAUAAAACAAAACGAUUAUGGAUAAUUGGUGUUCGUGAAGAAUUGAUGUUCUGAAGACUUAGAGGAUGAAAUUAGAACUGCAAGUGAAUUAUUAUAGAUGGGUAUGACAUGAAAUAGGGGACACAAUGGAAGAAUCAUUAGAAUUUGAGUUAGGGUUUCUGGAGAGUAUUGAAUUUGUGAUAGGUUGAGGAUGAAACCGAGCUUUAGAGGAUGGGUUUUGAUUAUUGAGAACAAGGAAGAAGAAUUAUUCAUUGAAUCAAUGAAUUGGGGUUUCUCAGGAUGAACUGGAAGUCGAUUUAUGAUGAAUAAGAAGAAUUAAUGAGUGGGUUUAAUUGAUUGAGAAUCGAGAUGGGGUAAUUAGAUGUUAUAAAGUUGUUCUUGAGGAAAUGAAGAGUUGGGUUUCACGGGAAAACUCAGGGAAGAAUUAGAACAUGGAAUUGAUGUCUGUGAGAAGGAUUUGAGGUGGGUUUUCAGUGAUUGAAUGGGUUAUAGUAGGAUUUGAUGUCAAGUUUCAGAUGAAGAAAUUGAUGGUGGUGAAGUAAUAAUUUGAGGAUGCUGGUGUUUUGUGUAAGCCUCUAAAUAAUCUGAAUUUUAGUAUUUUGGAUCUGAAUUAUUUUAGUUAUAGAGUUUGUAUGAUAUUAUAUGAAACUGAGAUGGAGAUGGUUAUAUAAUGAGGUUAUCUUGUUCAGUGAUUUAUGGUGUUAGUCUGGGUUGUUUGGUAUUGAGUCCAGAGGUUCUGUGAUGCAGAGAAGCUGCAAAUGGUAACUCAUGAAGAAUUGGGAUUACAAGGAAUAAGUGUACAUUGUAAAUGGUUACGGGGUUGAAAAGUAGAAAUGAGUUCAAUUGCCUGAGCAGCAUAUUAGAGGUACUUAUUCUUUUAAGUAAACUUAGCUAAGUUAUGUAAUUUCUAAUAUUGACUUUUUAAGCCUGUUAUGAAUUUAUAUCUGAAAGAUGUAUGGGUUUAUAUGGGAGCUGUGUUGAUACUUAAAAAGAAUUAGUAUUAAUUGAGAUGGAAAUACAGUUGAUAGUUCUGUACAAUGAUUGGAAUUGGUGUUGCAGGUGAUGUUGAGUUUGUCCAAUUGUCAUUGGUAGGGUCAAUGCAGUUGCAGGUGAAAGAAUGAUGUUAGAUAGAGCUGGUUGUGUUGGGAUUGGUUAUAGUUGUGGACAAUGGUGUUAUGCUCAAGAACAAUGGCUAUGUGUUGUUGUGAGAAUUGAAUAUGUUACAGAAUGGUGGCUGGUGGUGUUGGUGGUAUUGUUCAUGGGGUUGGAAGUGAUGCCCCUGUAAUGGAUAUGGUGGUAUUAUAGUUAUGUUGGCUGAUGCAAGUGGUUUUGCUUCAAGGAAAUAAAUUAGUGAUGAUGAUGUUGUUACAGGAAAGGUGUUGGUGGAGUUUUGUGUUGGUGGAUGUUGAAUUGAGUUUAGCUGUGAUGGUGCUGUAAGAUAUAAGAUAGAGUCAUAGUGGUGAUGAAUUUGUGGAAAAGAUGAAUGAGAACUAACUGAGAAUCUGAUGUUAUGUGACUGAGUCAUAGGAAUGAAGGUUUGAUGAGUGUGUGGAGUUAAAACUCUCUUGUAAAAGCUUAGAACUACAACUGCAGAGUUGAGUUGAGCUGAUCUGAGUUUGGCUUAGAGCCGCAAUUGCAGUUAGUCUGUAUUAACAACGAUCGAUUCAAAGGAUGCACCAAUGGACCGUGGAUCUCGAGGUAGGGGUGGCUUAUCAUCAAAAGAGUUGCAGAGACAGAUCAGAGUUGCGCAUCAAAAGCUCCGAGAAGUUGACUUCGUUGGUUACAUUCUGAUAUGUUUAUUAUGUUGUAUAUUCCAGUUGUAAACCAAAUGAUUAUUAUAUAUAUAUCAUUUGAGAGGAGUCCUUGUAUAUAUAUUUCUGAGCGGGGUUAGUUUUGGGUUAAGUUUUUGUAGCAGAUUUCUUAAUCAAAUGUUUAAGUAUUUGAUUUAGAUUCGUAAUGCCUCUUUAUUUUGUUAAUCUCUUGGAUUAGUCAGUUGCUAGCUUAGGGGGAGUUACAAGAACCUCAUUUCGAUGUAGCAAAGCCGGCCUUUACUGUAGAAUUGACUGAUUGUAGCACAUCCCAAAAAGGUAUGAACGUCGCUUACGUUCCAGAACCAUCUCAAGCACAUUGGGACGAUAGACGUCGCGGUCAAAUCGAUGUGACUCUUUUGGACGACGUGACCACCGGUCAUGAAGCUACUGAGAAAUACAUGGCGUGGUACUUAGAUUGGGCUCGUCCUACUGUGAUUAGGAAACUGACUGCUGAAGAAUUGGCUCUUAAGAAGAAGUUGGAAGCGAAAGAGCCAACAACAAUACUUAAGUUCUUUAAGGAUCAGAUGAAGACCUUUGUGAGGGUGUUGUGUUGCGAGAGAAAGAGGUGAGCCUUUGUCGAUUGAAGAGCAAACCAAGCACAUUGACUAUGCUUCCAAUGUUGACAUUGAGGAUUCCCAUAUAUUGUUCAAGCAACUUGAGGCUCAAGUAAAGGCUGAACAAAAAUCUAGGAGAGAAGCACAAGCCAAGAUGAAGGAUGAUAAAAAGAGGACUCGUAGCAGCAGUGGUGGUGGUGGUGAAGGUAGCAGCAGUGGUCGUGGUGGUGAAGGUAAUGCUCCAAAACGGGGCCGUAGUCGUCGUGGACGUGGUCGUGGUCAAUGAAUGCUUUCUUAGUUUAUUUCUUUAUGUUGUGGUGGACAAAUGUUUAAGUUAAUGGUGUGGACAAAUAUUUUUUUAACAUUUAUGGGACGUGUUUUCAUUUUGG